GAAACAAAAUGAUGGUUGCACACGACUAAUGGAAACAAUGAAAGACAUAAUCGGGCUCAACUGGGAAAUACUUCAAGCUCAUCAGCAAGCACGUGUGAUUAGAGAGAAUUUGAAUGACAUUAGAAGGAAAAGAUACUAAUAUCAUAGUCGGAUCCCGAAUCAACUGGGCGAAGGAUCCAUCUUUAAAAGCAAUUGUUCUACAGCUCGAGAAAGAUAUCUCCUUUCAGAAUCUCUAGCAGUCAGGAAGAUGGUGUUUAAUUGUAGAUUGUACUUACUUAACACAUUGUAUCUUAUUUAGUGAAAUCACUCUUUCAACUUGAGGUUUCAACCUUUCUGAAAUUUCUCGUCUACAGACACAGGAUGUAGCCAUGCCACUCUUUUUUCCAGAAUAAUAUUCUAACUUGUUAGACGACAGAUGUGACAGUACCUAUGGCAUAGCUGACAAAAGGAGCUGAAGAGCCAGCUUGAAAUGUACUAUGCCAAGAACUCAUUUCCCUAUGAAAUGCAGCAACAGUACAAGAAAUAACCUGUGUGUUAUGAUCACUUAGGCAGAGGGGCUGACCGUGCAGCCUUGCCACCACCCUGCACUGAGGAGAGGUGCCCGCAUGGCCCUGUGCCACUAGGCUGUGGGCACCGUGCCCCGUGCAGAGCUCAGGCUGCACAACUUUGUUAUAUCCUUAUUUUAAGCUGUAGACGUUUUCUGUGUGCUCUGAAGUGUGUUUCUACACUGCACGGUGAUUAGCUAGGUCGAGCACCCAGGAAUUAGAUACGGUGUUGCUGCUGCGGUCCCACCUGGAAAACAGCACAGAGGUGAGAGGAGCGGCUUUUCAGGCUGCGAGCAGCGCCCCGCCUCCUUCAACGCUGCCGUGCCUAACCUGUACUCAAUCGGCUAAACCUGUCUGCAUCUAACGGUCUAAAUAAAGCACUGCGUUUCUGCUAUUG